AGAAAAAGGGAGGCUUCCGAAGUUUGUGAGUUAAAUGAUCCGGUCACUAGCUUCCACUGGCUGUUUCCUCUGUUCAAGUUGGACACAGCAGGCUGGGGUGUGUGGCCACGCCUCCUGCACUAAAGGGGGAGAAAGACCCUGCCUUCCUACACAGAUCAUGAAACUAGAGGGACACAGUCUGUAGACAUGAGAUGGAAUUUCAGUGACUUAUGGAAACAAAUACACACACAUCUAUAUUAUACUUUGAAACAUUUCUG